rnacentral:rRNA from 1 species
CGACCGGCGCACGGGUGAGUAACGCGUAUCCAACCUUCCCAUUACUGUGGGAUAACCUGCCGAAAGGCAGACUAAUACCGCAUAGUCUUCGAUGACGGCAUCAGAUUUGAAGUAAAGAUUUAUCGGUAAUGGAUGGGGAUGCGUCUGAUUAGCUUGUUGGCGGGGUAACGGCCCACCAAGGCGACGAUCAGUAGGGGUUCUGAGAGGAAGGUCCCCCACAUUGGAACUGAGACACGGUCCAAACUCCUACGAGGCAGCAGCC